UACGUAGGUGGCGAGCGUUGUCCGGAUUUACUGGGCGUAAAGCGCGCGCAGGCGGACUGAUCAGUCUGGGGUGAAAUCUCACGGCUCGAACUGUGAGCGGUCCCUGGAUACUGUCAGUCUUGAGAUGUCUAGAGGAGAGCGGAAUUCCCGGUGUAGUGGUGGAAUGCGUAGAUAUCGGGAAGAACACCAGUGGCGAAAGCGGACUCUCUGGGGACCAUCUGGACGCUGAGGCGCGAAAGCGUGGGGAGCGAACCGGG
rnacentral:rRNA from 1 species